UACGAAGGGGGCUAGCGUUGCUCGGAAUUACUGGGCGUAAAGCGCACGUAGGCGGAUUGUUAAGUCGGGGGUGAAAUCCUGGAGCUCAACUCCAGAACUGCCUUCGAUACUGGCGAUCUCGAGUUCGGGAGAGGUGAGUGGAACUGCGAGUGUAGAGGUGAAAUUCGUAGAUAUUCGCAAGAACACCAGUGGCGAAGGCGGCUCACUGGCCCGAUACUGACGCUGAGGUGCGAAGGCGUGGGGAGCAAACAGG
rnacentral:rRNA from 1 species